AAGCAUCUCUACUCAGAGACCAUCUCCUUUGGAUUAUUUGGUGAGACCUGAUCCUCAGAUGGAGGGUUUCAGAAACCAGAAAACACUGCUGGAGGGCAUGCUCCCACUCUGGGCUCUUUUAUACCUGGAAAGCAUAGAAAAACUGCUCUGGAAUAUUUACUGUGGAACAGAUACUCUACUACAGGCCUAGCAUUCCUCACAAAUGACGACAUCCAAAUUCAGAGUUUCACUGGAAACUUGUUUCACAAGUUCAGAUUUUGAGGUCACUGAUCAUCAAGCAUUGCUCACAUAUGAUCACAACUGUGCGAUCUUGCUGGAGACCAGUAAUGAGUGAAGUACCCAACGUCUGAGUACUGAACCCAACUCUAUUCAACACUGCCACUGACCAGAUGACCUUCAGAGCUCCAUUCCCACCUCAAGCAAUCAGUGAUUCUGUGAUAUAAUAUACCCUGCUGAAUGAGAUGCAUCUGGUAUUCAAUAUUUUUCUUUACUUACAUGACAACUCAGAAUAUAGCCAGGAGGACUGUGUGCUUCUUUCUGAAUCAAACUCUGUCAACAGAUUCACUGAAAGUAUAAAAAAAAAUGGACUUGUUUUUUUCACUGGACUUUCCCCAGAAAAAGUUGGUAAAUUGGAAGUUGAAAGCUUUCUAGCUCUCAGAUGGAUUUAGGAAGAAUCAGCCUUCCCCCUGGUCCAAGAAUGUGCCAAUGACUUCUUCCUUAUUUUGCUCAAUCCAUAAAUGUGAUUUUAUAAUGGUUACAGUUUUCUUUCUCAGUCAUGUCUCUUCUGUGUCCUCUAAGUCAUAAGAACAGGAUUAAGAACAAACCCAAAGCACAACAGAAGUAUGUGUGUCUUAAGUUGCUCAAUGUAAUUCUUCCAUUCUUUUAAAACAUUAAGAAGCAUUACAUAACAAAGAAUAAACUUGAAUGGAACUAAUAUUUUUUUCACUAAAUAAUAAAUUAUUUAAAAGGUUGCAGUU
rnacentral:lncRNA from 7 species